GACGAACGCUGGCGGCGUGCUUAACACAUGCCAGUCGAACGGAAAGGCCCUGCUUUUGUGGGGUGCUCGAGUGGCGAACGGGUGAGUAACACGUGAGUAACCUGCCCUUGACUUUGGGAUAACUUCAGGAAACUGGGGCUAAUACCGGAUAGGAGCUCCUGCUGCAUGGUGGGGGUUGGAAAGUUUCGGCGGUUGGGGAUGGACUCGCGGCUUAUCAGCUUGUUGGUGGGGUAGUGGCUUACCAAGGCUUUGACGGGUAGCCGGCCUGAGAGGGUGACCGGCCACAUUGGGACUGAGAUACGGCCCAGACUCCUACGGGAGGCAGCAGUGGGGAAUAUUGCACAAUGGGCGGAAGCCUGAUGCAGCAACGCAGCGUGCGGGAUGACGGCCUUCGGGUUGUAAACCGCUUUCGCCUGUGACGAAGCGUGAGUGACGGUAAUGGGUAAAGAAGCACCGGCUAACUACGUG
rnacentral:rRNA from 1 species